AUUGAACGCUGGCGGCAUGCUUUACAUAUGCAAGUCGAACGGUAACAGGCCUUCGGGUGCUGACGAGUGGCGAACGGGUGAGUAAUGCAUCGGAACGUGCCCAGAGGUGGGGGAUAACGCAGCGAAAGCUGUGCUAAUACCGCAUGUGAUCUGAGGAUGAAAGCGGGGGACCAAGCAGCAAUGUUUGGCCUCGCGCCUCUGGAGCGGCCGAUGUCAGAUUAGGUAGUUGGUGGGGUAAAGGCCUACCAAGCCGACGAUCUGUAGCUGGUCUGAGAGGACGACCAGCCACACUGGGACUGAGACACGGCCCAGACUCCUACGGGAGGCAGCAGUGGGGAAUUUUGGACAAUGGGCGCAAGCCUGAUCCAGCAAUGCCGCGUGCGGGAAGAAGGCCUUCGGGUUGUAAACCGCUUUUGUACGGAACGAAAAGGCUCUGGCUAAUACCUGGGGCUGAUGACGGUACCGUAAGAAUAAGCACCGGCUAACUACGUG
rnacentral:rRNA from 1 species